CUCGUAUGCGUUCUUUUGUACAUAGUCAUCGAACAAAAAUAUCUAAAGUUGGCUAUUGGUUUAUAAAAGGCGUGCUAGCACUUUCAUUAAAUCACACUAAAGUGUCAAACGCUCGAUUCAAGGCUACUCUUAGCAAUCCAUGGWCAGAACGAAUACGAGCAUCACAGACAUGCAUAUUAGAUAUUAUACAUAUWUCCUGUUUGUUCUACUGUUGCUGGUCGCCUUGAAAUCUGAGGUCAGCGYUGGAAAGCACUAUGACGAGGCUCGACUCAUCAUGUUUCCCUUAAGAUCAACUUGAGAAAGAGAUCAUGGAGGUCUGCCCAGGCCAUGACGGUGAGCUGAAUSAUGAUGCGAACCUAGGAAAAUGGAAUUCAGUGACGAUUGAAGAAAGAGCGCUCAAGAAACUUCAAUAUCCUAAAGAUUGCAAGCGAGAUAAGUUGGUUAACUUUGCCACUAAAUGCGGCUUGCGAGUUGUACCUGGUGCAAAACACAUCAAGGUGUAUUCUGGAGACAAAUAUUUGACGACCAUCCCUCARACUGUCAAGCAAAAUCCAACAUGCGAGAGWAUCAUCAACGUACUGAAUGGCGAAUGCCUGAAGUAACUGUACCUAACCAGACAAUGCUUAGAUAUGCAAUAAAUUACUUAACUUUGUAAUUUUUUUUAUUGACUAAUAACUUUUCCAGGCUUUUUUAUCCGACAGCAUCAACAUUUGUUCGUCAACGGCACCGAUUUCGUACAGUGAAUUUCAUUCUUUGUGUAUUUUUUUUUUUUUUUUUUUUGAAUUAGUGUUUUAAAAGUAUUCAACCUUUUAUCUCGAUUUCUUCUUAAUGUUUCCCUUCUAAAAGGUAAAGAAUUAAAGACUUUUUUGGUA